GAAAACUCACUCUUUUGAACAAAGUUCAUUCACUAAUUUGGCAAAAAGUUUUUUUUUUUUACAAUGAAAUGAAACAAGUAUUUAUAGACACACAAUAGGCUAGUCGAAUGGUUUUUUCUUAACAUGCAUGAUCAGUUUUAAUUUCAAUUAAAGAGCUGAUCAAUUCUUUGAAUUCUACAGAUUUCUCCAUGUGCAUGGAAUUUGCCAAAAAGUCUCUUCUAGAUGCCUUGAAAAUUCAGCUGAAUUAUUUGAAGAAGCUUGGGAGCUAGUGAUGCAUUUCGGCCUAAAAGCUUGAGAAAGAUUUUAUGGAGACUUCUUGGUGAGCUGAACAGCUUGCAUGCUUUUAAGAGAAUUUUGGGGUUCUCCAAAAGCCACUUGGUGUGAACAAAAGAAUAGGAGCAGCCGUGUGUGUGAACACAUGGGAUCGAAU
rnacentral:lncRNA from 1 species